UAAGGAAUAUUGGACAAUGGACGCAAGUCUGAUCCAGCCAUGCCGCGUGAAGGAUGAAUGCCCUCUGGGUUGUAAACUUCUUUUAUAGGGGAAGAAAGAUACUUUUUUUAAGGUAGUUGACGGUACCCUAUGAAUAAGCACCGGCUAACUCCGUGCCAGCAGCCGCGGUAAUACGGAGGGUGCAAGCGUUAUCCGGAUUUACUGGGGUUAAAGGGUGCGUAGGCGGGCAUGUAAGUCAGUGGUGAAAUACCGGAGCUUAACUUCGGAACUGCCAUUGAUACUAUAUGUCUUGAAUAUUGUGGAGGUAAGCGGAAUAUGUCAUGUAGCGGUGAAAUGCAUAGAUAUGACAUAGAACACCGAUCGCGGAGGCAGCUUGCUACGCAAAUAUUGACGCUGAGGCACGAAAGCGUGGGGAUCAAACA
rnacentral:rRNA from 1 species